rnacentral:rRNA from 1 species
GCCACAGCCAUAUCACCCUGCAGCCCAAGACUGGUUGCCCACUGAAGCUAAGCAGAGUUGAGCCUGGUCAGUACCUGGAUAGGAGACUUCCUGGCAAAACUGGGUUGCUGCUGGAA